UGAUCCGCAGAUUUCCGAAUGGAGCAAUCCGGCAAGAGGAAAGUCUUGUCAUCAUAUACUGAAUACAUAGGUAUAUGAGGGGAACCGCCUGAACUGAAACAUCUAAGUAGGGCGAGGAAGAGAAAUCAACUGAGAUUCCGUAAGUAGUGGCGAGCGAACGCGGAAGAGGCCAAACCGAGAGUAGUAAUACUUUCGGGGUUCGGACAGAAAACGGUAUUGUAAAGGUUUAGUGGAAUGGAAUGGGAAGUCCAACCGAAGAAGGUGAGAGUCCUGUACACGAAAAGCCUGAACAGCCAUCUGUAUCCAGAGUACCGCCGGACACGUGAAACCCGGUGGGAAUAUGGGGGGACCAUCCUCCAAGCCUAAAUACUACUCGGUGACCGAUAGUGAAGAAGUACUGUGAAGGAAAGGUGAAAAGUACCCCUGACGGGGAGUGAAAAAGAACCUGAAACCUUGUGUUUACAAGCACCGAAAGCUCAUCAAAGAGCGAUCGGGUACCUUUUGUAGAAUGGUCCGGCGAGUGAAUGUAACCGGCGAGGUUAAGCACUUAAGGUGUGAAGCCGCAGCGAGAGCAAGUCUGAAUAGGGCGUAUGAAGUCGGUUGUAUUCGACCCGAAACCGGGUGACCUACCCAUGGUCAGGUUGAAGUAAAGGUAAAACUUUAUGGAGGACCGAACCGACUCCCGUUGAAAUGGUAGCGGAUGAACUGUGGGUAGCGGAGAAAUUCCAAUCGAACCCGGAGAUAGCUGGUUCUCUCCGAAAUAGCUUUAGGGCUAGCCUUGAAAUAGAUUACCGGAGGUAAAGCACUGAAUUGGCUAGGGGCCGAGAGGUUACUGAACCUUAUCAAACUAAGAAUGCCGGAUAAUCGUUUUUCAGGAGUCAGACAGUGGGAGAUAAGUUUCAUUGUCAAAAGGGAAACAGCCCAGACCCACAGCUAAGGUCCCCAAGUAUAGUUAAGUGGAAAAGGAUGUGGAAUUGCACAGACAACCAGGAUGUUGGCUUAGAAGCAGCCACUCAUUAAAAGAGUGCGUAAUAGCUCACUGGUCGAGUGACUCUGCGCCGAAAAUUUAACGGGGCUAAACUAUACACCGAAGCUUGGGAUACAUCUAAUGUAUGGUAGGAGAGCGUUCUGUAUGGGGAGAAGUCGUAGCGAAAGCGGCGGUGGACUAUACAGAAGUGAGAAUGCCGGAAUAAGUAGCGAGAAUUAAGUGAGAAUCUUAAUGGCCGAAAGUCUAAGGUUUUUGGAGGAAGGUUCGUCCGCUCCAAGUAAGUCGGGAGCUAAGGUCAGGCCGAAAGGCGUAGCCGAUGCACAUACGGUUGAUAUUCCGUAACCAUCUGUAAUUUAAGCAAAGGGACACUUCAAAAGGGUGUGACCCGGGCGUUGGUUGACCCGGGCGUAAGGGACCGAAAUUAGAGUAGGGAAGCACACUUAGCUGAAGGCGAGAAAAGCUUUGCGUAUAGAAGCAGAUGCCCGUACCGCAAACCGACACAGGUGGACAGGAAGAGAAUUCUAAGGCCAGCGGGAGAAGGGUAGUUAAGGAACUCGGCAAAUUGACUCCGUAACUUCGGAAUAAGGAGUGCUCGAAAGAGCCGCAGAGAAUAGGCCCAGGCGACUGUUUAGCAAAAACACAGGUCUCUGCCAAAUCGAAAGAUGAAGUAUAGGGGCUGACACCUGCCCGGUGCCGGAAGGUUAAGAGGAGGAGUGAGAGCUCCGAAUUGAAGCCCCGGUAAACGGCGGCCGUAACUAUAACGGUCCUAAGGUAGCGAAAUUCCUUGUCGGGUAAGUUCCGACCCGCACGAAUGGUGUAACGAUCUGGGCACUGUCUCAACUACCC
rnacentral:rRNA from 1 species